AUUGAACGCUGGCGGCAUGCUUUACACAUGCAAGUCGAACGGCAGCGCGGGCUUCGGCCUGGCGGCGAGUGGCGAACGGGUGAGUAAUGCAUCGGAACGUGCUCAGUAGUGGGGGAUAGCCCGGCGAAAGCCGGAUUAAUACCGCAUACGACCUGAGGGUGAAAGCGGGGGACCGAAAGGCCUCGCGCUAUUGGAGCGGCCGAUGUCGGAUUAGCUAGUUGGUGGGGUAAAGGCUUACCAAGGCGACGAUCCGUAGCUGGUCUGAGAGGACGACCAGCCACACUGGGACUGAGACACGGCCCAGACUCCUACGGGAGGCAGCAGUGGGGAAUUUUGGACAAUAGGGGCAAACCUGAUCCAGCCAUGCCGCGUGCGGGAAGAAGGCCUUCGGGUUGUAAACCGCUUUUGUUCGGGAAGAAAUCCUCUGGGCUAAUACCCCGGGGGGAUGACGGUACCGGAAGAAUAAGCACCGGCUAACUACGUG
rnacentral:rRNA from 1 species